rnacentral:lncRNA from 1 species
UCGCCAUGGAGACGCAGAAGCCACGGUUGGAGAAAAAGAUGUCAGAAAGAGAGCUAACUUAGCAGUUAGCUAGUUUAAAGUUUCUGUGUUAGAAAAACUCGGUGUUUUUUGUGUUUAUUAAGUGAACUGAGGCGUCGGGCAGUGUCUGUUUACCUAUUUAACUGGUUCUGAGCUGUAUUUGCCCUCUAACGUCGAGCUUUCUACUCUAAACUUGGACAUUUCCACUGGGCUAGCUGGCUAAGUUAGCUAGCUAACGCUAACUAGCGCUAACCAGCUUUAUGGAGCUGUAGGGAGUGUUAAAUGCCAUACAGAGGACAGUUGGAGCAAGAGCUGACAGAUUCAUUUCACUCCCAGCGGAAAUAACACAGCUGGACGGACGGAGAACUUGAACCUGCUGCUGUCAGCUGAGAGAGCUGCUGGUUAAGGUGGUGCGGAACUGAGAGAGCUGCUGGUUAAGGUGGUGCCGGACUGGGCGCUGCUGGUUAAGGUGGUGCGGAGCUGAGACAGGUGCUAGUUAAGGUCGUGCGGAGAUGGGCUGCUGCUGAGAGCUGAUUGUCUGAGCGCGCUGCACUGACUGAGGAUGCUGCGAGUGAUUAAAGCUACCAUCAGGCUCCCAAUAAAAGUGCAGGAGCAAUGCACAAGAGAUCACCAUCAACAGGAUCUGUUUGAAUCUUCAAAUGCGAGCAAACAACUAAACAGAACAACAUUUAAAGAGAGUCGGAUACUGGCAGGGCAUUGGAAAGUGGUACAACACCAGCAGCACAGCACAACAAUACAGGUAAUAUGUCUGAAGAUGUGUAUUAUUGUGUAUUAAAGCCAAAAAAUGACAUUUUCCUGUUUUGUCUGUCUAUAUAUUCUCUGUCAUGCACAAAUGUCCAAAAAACAUUUUAUUAACUUUCAGUGGAAGGUUACUUUAAAUAAAGAUUUUAUUC